rnacentral:rRNA from 1 species
AACGAACGCUGGCGGCGUGCUUAACACAUGCAAGUCGAACGCGAAAGGGACUUCGGUCCUGAGUAAAGUGGCGCACGGGUGAGUAACGCGUGGAUAAUCUGCCCAAUGGACUGGGAUAACAUCUCGAAAGGGGUGCUAAUACCGGAUAAGACCACGGGAUCCUUGGAUUCUGCGGUAAAAGGUGGGGACCUUCGGGCCUACCGUCAUUGGAUGAGUCCGCGUACCAUUAGCUAGUUGGUAGGGUAAUGGCCUACCAAGGCUACGAUGGUUAGCUGGUCUGAGAGGAUGAUCAGCCACACUGGAACUGAGACACGGUCCAGACUCCUACGGGAGGCAGCAGUGGGGAAUUUUGCGCAAUGGGGGAAACCCUGACGCAGCAACGCCGCGUGAGUGAUGAAGGCCUUCGGGUCGUAAAGCUCUGUCAGAGGGGAAGAAGUGCAGUGGUGCUAAUAUCGCCAUUGUUUGACGGUACCCUCAAAGGAAGCACCGGCUAACUCCGUGCCAGCAGCCGCGGUAA